CGUUUUCCUUCAUCUACCUCCAUCCGCCCCUCCUCUUCUCUCUCAUUUUCUCUCCAUCCAAACACCCAUUUCUUCCCUCUUCUUCACCAUCUUUCCUUUUCUCUUUCUUUCUCUCUUUUUCCCUGUUCUCUUUCCAUAGCCAUUUUUUUUCCUUUCUUCCCACUGCCGGCAUCACUGAUGCGACACCACCGCCGGCCGCAAUCCGGCCGGCCACCCGCUCUUCCCCUUCUCUCUUUAUCUCAUUCACUUUCCCUCUCUCUCAUUUUCUCUUCAUCUCUCUCACCCAUGGAACACCAUCACCCCACCACCCAUUCUCCCUCUCACACCACACUUCAUUCAUGGCCACUGUAUCUUCGUGCCCACUACUGCUCCAUGGCAUCUUCUUCCAUGGGUUCUUCAAUUUUAGCCACAGGUAAAUGGUGCUUGCUGUGAGAGUCAAAGUGGGACCCCGACACUACCCGAUCACCCCACCACCUAACCUGCCUAUCAGCACCUUGCCACCCUUCUUCCCACGUAUAACAAAGAAGGGAAUUGACCCACUACAGAUCUAUAAUUUUCCAGGAAAACACAUUUAUACAAACGAGAUGCUGAAACAUAAAAACACUUCAAAUCAUGGGUGACUGACUGCUACACUUACUGGGCUUCAAUAUUGGCUUCUAAAUCUUGGGUUUCUGAACUCGGCUCAUCUUGUUGGGGAUACGGUUAUCGUAAACCUGAUUGAUGGGGAUGACAGCCUGUAGCGAACGAAGAGCAUGGUCUACAAGCCGAGCAGCGGGGUAGAAGGAUAGCAAUAGGAGAACAGGAUAAACAUACCAGAAGAGUGGCUGCGGGAAAAUGAGUGAAGCCAUGAAUGAAACAGCGGCGGAGAGCGGGCGGUUUCCAAAUCGCAAUCGUAUGUGGAGUGUGCGGAAUGAACAAGUGAAGAGGGUGAGGGGGGGACUUCAUUGGAGACGAAGGAAAAGGCAGCUAGAAUGAGGAGAAAGCAAAAGAGGUUGGUCCAAGUGAUCGGAUCCCAACUUAUCCCUCCUAUUUGGGAUUUCGCCAUGUUUAUCAGGACUAUGAUGCAGAACCUCAAAUCGAAGUGGCGCAUGGCGCAUGGCGCAUUUAAUGAUGAUGAUGAUGGAAUGAACCAAUCAUGGGAGGAUGGAGUUGGUGAAUUGAAUACUAUAUACAGAUGGCCACCAGAUUCAGAAUUAUGAUUGCCCUUCCAUUUUGUAAAAAUUACAACGUGCGAGGUUUGUCUCAUCCUCAGACCUCCUAAAGGGUCGGUCGGUAUUAAGUUUGUUCCCAAAAUAGCCUUAAAGCAGUAAAGCAGUUUUGAUGCUCA